rnacentral:rRNA from 1 species
AUUGAACGCUGGCGGCAUGCCUUACACAUGCAAGUCGAACGGUAACAGGUCUUCGGAUGCUGACGAGUGGCGAACGGGUGAGUAAUACAUCGGAACGUGCCUAGUAGUGGGGGAUAACUACUCGAAAGAGUGGCUAAUACCGCAUGAGAUCUACGGAUGAAAGCAGGGGAUCGCAAGACCUUGUGCUACUAGAGCGGCCGAUGGCAGAUUAGGUAGUUGGUGGGAUAAAAGCUUACCAAGCCGACGAUCUGUAGCUGGUCUGAGAGGACGAUCAGCCACACUGGGACUGAGAGACGGCCCAGACUCCUACGGGAGGCAGCAGUGGGGAAUUUUGGACAAUGGGCGCAAGCCUGAUCCAGCAAUGCCGCGUGCAGGAUGAAGGCCUGCGGGUUGUAAACUGCUUUUGUACGGAACGAAAAGCCCCGGGUUAAUACCCUGGGGUCAUGACGGUACCGUAAGAAUAAGCACCGGCUAACUACGUGCCAGCAGCCGCGGUAA